UCACCGCGAUUUAAUAACAGAUACAUUCUUUUGCAACUUAUUGCUGAUAUAGAAAAAUUGCAACAAAUUAAAUAAAGUUACAAUAGAUGAUAUCCAAAUCAUUAAACCCGGCCCAAUAGGAAAAAAGAAAAAGAAAAGGAAAUUUUUUUUCUCCCCUAUCUUUGCGUUAAUACACACACCCACACACAUUUUCUAUUAUUGGUAAAAUCUCCAUCAAUCUUAGUCC
rnacentral:lncRNA from 1 species